ACCAAUUGAAUGGUUUGAGGCAAUGCAGAUCAAAACCGCAGCAAAUCCCCAUGGCCCAGCCUGGGUUGGGGCAGAGCUGGCGGAAAGUCUCGGCAUUUAAAGAUGCUAGUAAGCAUUUUGCAUUAGGAACUGCGCAGGGCCUACUUAGAAAUGGCAACCCGCUUGACUCCUUCCUCACUGCAGUCCAGUGACGUUAAACCCAAGCAACGGUGGGAGGUGUGGACCGGAGCCCGGGCAUUCCCCACUAUGCCUCUUUUUUUAACAGCCUUUUCAAGCCCUGUUCCUGCUGGCAACAUCCCAGGCAACAGGAAGGCACUCGACAUGGAAGGCCACUCCACCCGUCACAAGAGGUAGGCCUGGGAACUGGCUGGUGUCUAUCAUGUACCCAACUCCUUCAUCAUCCCAGCGUCGAUAGCCAGCCCUGUAGUUUACAUUUAUGCAUCCCCUUGUGAAAUUUGGAAAGCAGAACUUCGGCAUUAAGCUAGAGCAACAGGAAAGUGAAGCUGCCUUAUUUGUGUUCAUUGCCUGAAUGGAAAAGGAAAUUAAAGACGCGGCUCUGCGCUGGGGAGGCUCGUUCAGCUCGGUCCCAGAGAGCACAGAAUUACACCAGCAAGCUACUGACC